rnacentral:rRNA from 1 species
GACGUAGGGUGCGAGCGUUGUCCGGAUUUAUUGGGCGUAAAGAGCGUGUAGGCGGCCCGAUAAGUCCGCCGUGAAAGUCCAGGGCUCAACCCUGGAAUGCCGGUGGAAACUGUCGGGCUGGAGUCCGGAAGAGGCGAGUGGAAUUCCUGGUGUAGCGGUGAAAUGCGCAGAUAUCAGGAGGAACACCAAUGGCGAAGGCAGCUCGCUGGGACGGUACUGACGCUGAGACGCGAAAGCGUGGGGAGCAAACAGG